rnacentral:rRNA from 1 species
UACAGAGGUGGCAAGCGUUGUUCGGAAUUACUGGGCGUAAAGGGCGCGUAGGCGGUUCGUUAAGUCCUGUGUGAAAUCCCCCGGCUCAACUGGGCGGGGUCAGCGGAUACGGCGUGGCUGGAGCAAGCUAGGGGGCAAUGGAAUUCCCGGUGUAGUGGUGGAAUGCGUAGAUAUCGGGAGGAACACCAGUGGCGAAGGCGGUUGCCUGGAGCUUUGCUGACGCUGAUGCGCGAAAGCGUGGGGAGCGAUCCGG